GACUCGGGCGGGCGGUGGCCGCGACACAGAGGCCCUUUCAGGCUGCGAGGCCGGGCGGGGCGGGUCUGCGCCCCCGUGGAGCGCCCCGCCUUGGCUCCCUGCACCCUGCUUUUCUCCCGCUGCCCGGGAGGCCCCUGGGCCGCCUGGCUUUGUCCUGUUUUUAAACGCUCUCCUGCGUAAAGCCUGGAAGAAAGAGGCUUCUGUUUGUGGCAUCCCAGUCCACACGUCCACCUUGGCCAGGACCCAGUAUCGGUGGUGCUCAGUAGGUGCCCAGCAUUGACAUUCCCAGAAGGCAAUUUCUACCCUUUUCAAGCUGCCAGAAUCAGAACCCCUUGUCAGUUUCUGGUAUUCGGCUACUGGGCAGUGCCUGAGUGAGGCGUCUUGGUGAGCAGAUGGGCUAACAGAGCUUGGAAACCUUCAUGGGAAAAUAAAACGAUGGUCCAGAAAAGAUUCACCAUGUACGAAAUAAACCCAGUUUGGGCCACUGCGGGUGAACUACAGGUGUACCAAGUACGCGGUAAACUGAGGCAGAUAGCAUCAGUCAGAGGAGAAAGAAUAUGGUUCGAGUCUGGAGAGGAAGUGAGUAUGUCAGGAGCAGAAAAACAGGCAUGCAAAAAUAAAGCAAUGACCCAAAUAUGGGCGUUAAAGCCGGACAAAGCCCGUCGGUGCCAGGGGCUCUAUAUUCAGCGUGCCGUGACUAUUGUCUCUGGUUUAGGUUACACAGUAAUCCAAGCUUCUCCGAGGCUUCUCCCUACCACUGGCAGCCUUUUCAUCCAGGUCCCUCACCAUCUGUCUUCAGGGACCAACCAUCUCCAACCUCCAACCCCCACACCCUACACCCUCCACACCCUCAGCCUCAUAGGCCUAGCUCUGACUUCCAGACUGUCUGCUAUUCAGUCUGCUCCAGGAGCCGUCCUACUGGUUUCUGUAAACUCCCGGCAUCUUGGCUGCUUUUCAACAGCCAGUAGCUGCUGUAUGACAUAGACGCACGAGGUUCUGAGAGCAGGAGGUAGCUGUCUUUCACUGAGAGGCCUCUGGGCUGCCUUUCUAGGGCAGACUGAUCUGCGGCUGGAACAGUUAGACUGGGGUUAUCUUUUUCCCUCUAGUUGGAGCUUCACCACGAUCCUGGCUUCACACACACACAAGGGCACUGUUACUCCCAUGUUACACAACUUGAGGCCUACCUGGGCCCAUGCCCACCCUUAACAGUGUCACCCUGACAGUUUCUCAGAGAUCAGCCCUGACUCAGUAUCCAGAGCUGGAGAACAGGACUAUGUAAUUUAUGCAAAAGAAAAAAAAAAUCCAAGGUUCCUUGUUCAGACAGACGAUUAAGAAUUUUAGGCGGG
rnacentral:lncRNA from 1 species